rnacentral:rRNA from 1 species
GUCUACGGCAAUGCCACCCUGAACAAGCCCGAUCCCGUCUGAUCUCGGAAGCUAAGCAGGGUCCUAGGAAGACCAGGUGUGGUAGGCA